GCCAGAAUGGAAUAAUGGUUUGAGUGCUGGACUAUGAAUCUGGAGACCAGGGUUUGAUUCCCUGCUCAGCCA
rnacentral:tRNA from 1 species